UAUCUACGUGUGUGUACAUCAGUGCAUGUGGAGGGUUCUGGUGCACACAUUCACACACACAUGCACACGCAC
rnacentral:miRNA from 12 species